CCCUCCAUUUCCAAGUUUCAUAUCCCAAAAAAGCAAACUCCUCAAAAGCAGACAACUUUCUUUUCACUCAUAUCAGAAAAAAGAUAAGCUAAGAAACAUGGCAGAGAAGGCUUAUCCUGCAGCCCCGGCAAACCAUGGUUACCAAAGAAGUGAUGCAGAGUCUUUGGAAAAUGCUGAUGAGCUGAAACGCAAGAAGAAAAUCAAAUUGGCCAUAUAUAUUACUAUUUUCGUUGUGUUUCAGAUCAUAGUUAUCACCACAAUGAGUCUCACUGUCAUGAAAGUGAAAACCCCCAGGUUCAGGCUAGGCAACAUCAAUGUCGAAAACUUCGUAUCUGACUCGGCAGCGCCUUCAUUCGACACGAAAUUCACAACCCAAAUCAAGAUCAAGAACUCAGCCAACUGGGGUUCCUACAAGUUCAAUGCUGCCAAUAUCACGUUUCAACACCAAGGAGCGACUCUGGCAGUAAUUGAUAUCGCAAAGGGCAAGGCUGGAUGGCUUUCGACCAUAAAAAGAACUGCGGAGGUGAGUUUGAAGUCAAGUGCAAUAAAUGGUUCAAACUUUGGAAGUGAAUUGAGCAGCGGGGUGUUGACUCUCAACAGCGUAGGAAGAUUGAACGGAAAAGUUGCAAUUAUGUUCAUCAUGAAGAAGAAGAAGGCCGCCAACAUGAACUGCACCAUAGCUUUUGAUGUGGCAGCCAAGAACGUCAAAUCUUUACACUGCAAGUGAAAAAAACAGACCAUGAUUUGAUUUCUCUAUAAUGAUGUGGAUUUUGGAUUGAUGAAGACUAGUUCUUGGAUUAUUUUUCGUCAUUGAUAUUCUUUUUUUUUUCUAUAGCUAUGAGUGACACUUGUAUUGUAUUUUGUUUGUAGAAUUACAAUACUACUUUAUUGCUAUUCUUUUUACUUUAUGUUUAUCAAAUGGCUUAAAUCAUGUAUCUUGUUUAUCCAAUAAGGGCCAAUAUAUUUGCAGAAAUAGAUAUCUUAGGAUCA
rnacentral:lncRNA from 1 species